CGAGCACGCGCGUGUGGCAUAUCAAUAAGCGGAGGAAAAGAAACUAACAAGGAUUCCCUUAGUAACGGCGAGUGAAGCGGGAAGAGCUCAAAUUUGAAAUCUUCAAGGUUUUACCUUGACGAAUUGUAGUUUAAAGAAGUGUUUUCUGUUGGAGUUUUGGUAAAGGUUCUUUGGAAUAGGACAUCAUAGAGGGUGAGAAUCCCGUAUUUGACCAUUAUUUCCAACUUUGUGAUACACUUUCAAAGAGUCGGAUUGUUUGGGAAUGCAGUCCAAAAUGGGUGGUAAAUUUCAUCUAAAGCUAAAUACUGGCGAGAGACCGAUAGCGAACAAGUACCGUGAGGGAAAGAUGAUAAGAACUUUGAAAAGAGAGUUAAACAGUACGUGAAAUUGUCAAAAGGGAAGCGUUUGACACCAGUGUUGUUUUCUCGAAAAUCAAUUAUAAAUGGCUUGGAUGUUGUGUUGUAUUGACUUAUAAGCUUUCUGCACUUUUUUUCAUAUCUUUUUUAAUGCACUUUUCGUUUAACAAGUCAACAUCAAUUUCUUUUGUUGUAAAAGAGUCAUUGGAAGGUGGCUUUCUUUUCGGAGAAAGUGUUUAUAGCCUUUGGCUUCUGCAAUCGGAGAGAUUGAGGUCUGCAGCGUAGAUCCUUCGGGGUUAGAUACAUUUGUGCUAAGUUAUAGCCUUUCAUAGACAACUUGUUGACUAUGAUCAGUCAUGUAGCUUACUCGCUUAUGCUAUUUUACCUACGCUUAGGAUGUUGAGUCAUCACACAUCUCU
rnacentral:rRNA from 1 species